GUGGGGAAUAUUGGACAAUGGGCGAAAGCCUGAUCCAGCCAUGCCGCGUGUGUGAAGAAGGUCUUCGGAUUGUAGAGCACUUUAAGUUGGGAGGAAGGGCAGUAAUUUAAUACCUUGCUGUUUUGACGUUACCGACAGAAUAAGCACCGGCUAACUUCGUGCCAGCAGCCGCGGUAAUACGAAGGGUGCAAGCGUUAAUCGGAAUUACUGGGCGUAAAGCGCGCGUAGGUGGUUUUGUAAGUUGGAGGUGAAAUCCCCGGGCGCAACCUGGGAACUGCCUCCAAAACUGCAUGACUAGAGUACGGUAGAGGGUAGUGGAAUUUCCUGUGUAGCGGUGAAAUGCGUAGAUAUAGGAAGGAACACCAGUGGCGAAGGCGACUACCUGGACUGAUACUGACACUGAGGUGCGAAAGCGUGGGGAGCAAACAGGAUUAGAAACCCGUGUAGUCC
rnacentral:rRNA from 1 species